UGGGGAAUAUUGCACAAUGGGCGCAAGCCUGAUGCAGCCAUGCCGCGUGUAUGAAGAAGGCCUUCGGGUUGUAAAGUACUUUCAGCGGGGAGGAAGGGAGUAAAGUUAAUACCUUUGCUCAUUGACGUUACCCGCAGAAGAAGCACCGGCUAACUCCGUGCCAGCAGCCGCGGUAAUACGGAGGGUGCAAGCGUUAAUCGGAAUUACUGGGCGUAAAGCGCACGCAGGCGGUUGAUUGAGUCAGAUGUGAAAUCCCCGGGCUUAACCCGGGAAGUGCAUCUGAUACUGGUCAGCUAGAGUCUUGUAGAGGGGGGUAGAAUUCCAUGUGUAGCGGUGAAAUGCGUAGAGAUGUGGAGGAAUACCGGUGGCGAAGGCGGCCCCCUGGACAAAGACUGACGCUCAGGUGCGAAAGCGUGGGGAGCAAACAGG
rnacentral:rRNA from 1 species